GUGAACGCCCUCACGGGCUUAUACUAUUCCAAACCUCUGUGAACCGUGCCCUUCGGGGCUAUUUUACAAACAUGGUGUAAUGAACGUUCAUAUAUCAUAACAAAACA
rnacentral:misc_RNA from 1 species